rnacentral:rRNA from 1 species
GUGGGGAAUCUUGCGCAAUGGGCGAAAGCCUGACGCAGCCAUGCCGCGUGAAUGAUGAAGGUCUUAGGAUUGUAAAAUUCUUUCACCGGGGACGAUAAUGACGGUACCCGGAGAAGAAGCUCCGGCUAACUUCGUGCCAGCAGCCGCGGUAAUACGAAGGGGGCUAGCGUUGCUCGGAAUUACUGGGCGUAAAGGGCGCGUAGGCGGACAGCUUAGUCAGAGGUGAAAGCCCAGGGCUCAACCUUGGAAUUGCCUUUGAUACUGGCUGUCUUGAGUACGGGAGAGGUGAGUGUAACUCCGAGUGUAGAGGUGAAAUUCGUAGAUAUUCGGAAGAACACCAGUGGCGAAGGCGACUCACUGGCCCGUUACUGACGCUGAGGCGCGAAAGCGUGGGGAGCAAACAGGAUUAGAAACCCUAGUAGUCC